UCAUCUUCUCAGAGCUGCUCUCCAACCUGC
rnacentral:piRNA from 1 species